UACGAGAGGCCCAAACGUUAUUCGGAUUUACUGGGCUUAAAGAGUUCGUAGGCGGCUUGGAAAGUGGGGUGUGAAAGCCCUCGGCCUAACCGAGGAAUUGCGCUCCAAACUACCGAGCUUGAGUAGGCUAGAGGUGAGCAGAACUGAUGGUGGAGCGGUGAAAUGCGUUGAUAUCAUCAGGAAUACCGGAGGCGAAGGCGGCUCACUGGGACCUAACUGACGCUGAGGAACGAAAGCUAGGGGAGCGAAAGGG
rnacentral:rRNA from 1 species